AGGUCCGGGAUGACCUAUUCUUCUAUUCUCUUUUCCCGUUCUCCCUCAAUUCUCUCACCCCAAUUGGUAUCUCCCCGUUCUCUCUUCUGUUCGUUCUCUCCAUUUUUUUAUUUUCAUUUUCCACCGUAGCUGCAUAUGCAUAAUAAUCCCUAGAGAAAGUUUCGUUUUCUUUGCUCACGAUGCUAACGUGGACCCGUCCGUGCUUAUGUUUGGCAAUGUCAAGAGCCUUCAUUCCCGUCCAAAAACGUUGGUGUCAGCCUCCAUUUAUUAUUUUUAUUAAUUAAUUAAUAUUAAUGAUUUUUGUUGAUUUUAAUUUUACUGUGCAUUUAAUACUUUUUGUCUUUUGCGUUGCUUUUGCUUCGGUUACGAUGCGUUUAUUCAUUUAUUUCCAUUGUAAAUGUAAAUAUGUAAUAAUUAAUUAUUUGUAUUAUUUGUAUUUUGUUCCUAAGACGUUUGCCUUUCCAA